UAAGAAGCAAACUAGUGAAAUUUAUGAAAAUUGCUCAUAAAAAUAUUGAACGCUUAACUAAUACAAACAUAACUAAUACAAGCAUUACUAAUACACUCUAUUAUCAUUAUUCAUAUACACUCUACCAAACGACCCCUAAACGUACAAAUCAACAAAAAAUCAGGUGUUUAAAAUCAUUGUUUCAUCCUCUCCUUACAUAACAGAAAAGACCAUAAAAACAAAACAAAUCGUACAUCCCCUUGCCCCCUUUACCAAUUCUUUUCUCCCUUGUAGCUUGUAACUGGUUUGGAUUUAUUUCUUCUUUCCCUUUCCAAGUUACUUUUCUUGAUGAAUAUGAAAGGUUGUUUGGCAUUGAUGCACCAUUGUAAUCUCCUCAAAAAGUAAUAUUUCUUUUACUAGUAUUUUGCUUCUUCAGCCAUUCUUAAAGUCUAAAACUAGUUUCAAACUACACCACUUUAGGCUAUAAAAUACGGUCUGAAUCAUGCCCUACUAGAAUGGAUCUCUAGCUAGAGAUCUCAUUCAAAUCAGGUAGAGAAUAAAGAAAUACUCACUUUCUUGAGUGUUUUGGUGGUUCUGUCAAGGGUACAUCUUGAGAUUCAUGGGAAUUUCCUUCUUCUUAUUUGUUUUUUCCAUUGAGCUAUGUGGAAAAAAAUUACACUAAUAAUGAUAGCUAGAUGUGGAAAGGAAAUAAAUUUAUUAAAUUAUGAGUAUUACCAAUGGACAUUUUUUCUUAUUGUGGUUUGGUUCACCGCAAUAACCACAAGUCAUUAACAGUCUUGUUUGGAAGCUGACCAUAUCUCCUGCCCAUUCUUAGCAUCAUCAUUUUCUCUUGUUCUUUUCACCUUUGGUCUACCAACCAUCUUAGCUAUAGUAGGGGGCUCUAUGGCAUGGUAUGGCUCUAUUUUCAGAAGUUUUCACCCUUAACAGGUUGAAGUUUAUGCUUAUAUACUAUUAAAUAUGCUCCUUUAGAAUAGCACAAAUAUAUCUUAUCAAUAGGGAAAAGUUUUGUAUGGAGAAAUGCUUUAAUGGAAUAAAUACAUGGGAUUUCGAUUAAGACCCAUGCUCUGCAUGUG
rnacentral:lncRNA from 1 species